AACGAACGCUGGCGGCAUGCCUAACACAUGCAAGUCGAACGAGACCUUCGGGUCUAGUGGCGCACGGGUGCGUAACACGUGGGAAUCUGCCCUUUGCUUCGGAAUAACAGUUAGAAAUGACUGCUAAUACCGGAUGAUGUCGAAAGACCAAAGAUUUAUCGGCAAAGGAUGAGCCCGCGUAGGAUUAGGUAGUUGGUGGGGUAAAGGCCUACCAAGCCGACGAUCCUUAGCUGGUCUGAGAGGAUGAUCAGCCACACUGGGACUGAGACACGGCCCAGACUCCUACGGGAGGCAGCAGUGGGGAAUAUUGGACAAUGGGCGAAAGCCUGAUCCAGCAAUGCCGCGUGAGUGAUGAAGGCCUUAGGGUUGUAAAGCUCUUUUACCAGGGAUGAUAAUGACAGUACCUGGAGAAUAAGCUCCAGCUAACUCCGUG
rnacentral:rRNA from 1 species